rnacentral:rRNA from 1 species
GACGAACGCUGGCGGCGUGCUUAACACAUGCAAGUCGAGCGGAAAGGCCCUUUCGGGGGUACUCGAGCGGCGAACGGGUGAGUAACACGUGCGUAAUCUGCCCCUGGCUUUGGGAUAGCCACCGGAAACGGUGAUUAAUACCUGAUACGACCACUUCUCGCAUGGGAUGGUGGUGGAAAGUCUUUCGGCCAGGGAUGUGUACGCGGCCUAUCAGCUUGAAGGUGAGGUAAUGGCUCACCAUGGCUUCGACGGGUAGCCGGCCUGAGAGGGUGGCCGGUCACACUGGGACUGAGACACGGCCCAGACUCCUACGGGAGGCAGCAGUGGGGAAGAUUGGACAAUGGGCGGAAGCCUGAUCCAGCAGCGCCGCGUGAGGGAUGACGGCCUUCGGGUUGUAAACCUCUUUCAGCAGGGACGAAGCGCAAGUGACGGUACCUGCAGAAGAAGCACCGGCCAACUACGUGCCAGCCGCCGCCGUAA